CCCAGCUAGGAGGCAGACUAGCCACUGUUUGCCUGCCGAGGCUCCGCCCUGCUGUUGUGAGGUUCGACCUGUUGGGGCAGGCUCUCCUGUUCUGCUGUGGUCUCCGCCACGCCCUGUGGUGGAGUCUUUGCUGUAGUGGGUUGCCUCGGCAACGGCAGGCUGCCUCAGCAGUGGGCAUGUAUCUCAGUAGGGACGGGUUGCCUCGGCAAUGGCAGGCUGCGUCAGCAGUGGGCGUGUAUCUCAGUAGGGACGGGUUGCCUCGGCAACGGCUGUCUGCCUCAGCAAUGGGCAUGUAUCUCAGUUGGGGCGGGUUGCCUCGGUAAUGGUGGACGCCCCUCCCCCACAGAGCAUCUUAGACCGUCUACUCGGGAUCAUUUGAAAUCGCAGUUUUGUUCGUCCCACUGGGCUAUCCCAAACGCUCUGUCCCUGCAAUCCCCUGGGCUGGCCCACUGUCCAAGUUUCAUUCAGUCUCAAGUCCAGACCUCUCAAGUCUCAGGUUGCCGGUUCAACAGGGCACCCGGACAAGUGCGCCCUUGGAGAGUGCUGGGUAGGGCCGGCUGCCGCCACCCCGGCUGCCGGCUUCACCAGGCAGAGGUACUGGCUGGCAUCCCACGUCUCCUUUAUACUUGGGAAUUUCCCCGUUCUGUGGGCAACAGAGAUCAGUCUGGAAAUGCAGCUCCGACUCACCUCUCCGUGGAUUCAACGAGAGCUCCAAUCCUGUGUUGGUCUCACAGCGCCAUCUUGAGUCCUCCCCCGACUAUUUUUUUCUUACACUAUAGAAGCUAAAAUCAUUAUAUUGUUCUUACACUAUAAGAGCUAAGGUUGUCUGUUUACAUCAACUUUGAUACAAGUGAUCAUUGUCUAAAUACUUAUUUAAUAGAUGUUUAUUUAAAAAGAAAAAGAAAAAAUAGAGAUGUUUAUUAAGUGACUACUAUGUCCCAGGCAUGAUUCUAGGUGCUUGGGAUAUGAGUGAGUUAAACAGAGAAAAAUUACUGACUUCAUUAGGCUUACAUUUUAGCAGCGAGAGAGAGAGAAAGAAAUACAUUAGAAACAUAAUAAAUAGGUAUAUGCUAUAGUAUUUCAGAUGGUAAUGAAUGCUACAUAAAAGAAAAUGAAAGUAGCAUAAAAGCAGUCAGAUGUGCCUAAUGAAAAUUAGCUGAAAUCAACCCCAGUAGUACCAUAGGUAGUUUUUUUUUUUUUGGUUAAACAGACCCUUUUGGUCUUAAAGCUUGAACCUUACAUUUGUUUCAUCCAAGUUCUUUCCUCAGAAAAUGACCUUCAGACCUAAAAAAAAAAACAAAAACAAAAAACAAAUAAUUACCAGGUUACCACACCCAGACAAUGAGAUGCCUGACUCCUCAUUCCUCAUAAUUGCUUCCUUGCCUCUCCCCUAGCCUGGUUUCUUAUACAUUGUUACAUUUCCUCGCUGCUGUUUAAACCCCUAGUUUUAGUCAAUCAGGGAGACAGAUUUGAGACUGAAUUCCCAUGUCCUCCCUGCAGUACCCAAGUAAACUUUCUUCUUCAGCUACACUCAUCGUCUCAGUGAUUGGCUUUCUGUGCUGCCAGCAGCAAGACCUAGAAAAAACUGCUGGUGUUUCGGUAACAAUAAAUGUUGCAUAGAAAGGAAAAUGAGAAUAAGCUAAAGGCAGCCAGACGUGCCUAAUGAAAAUUAGAUAGCUACAAGUAUUUUUUUCUGACAUCUUAAAAUUAACUGUAUACUACACAUAUAUAGAUAUAUUUAUUUAUACACAUAUACAUACAUAUAUACUUUUGGAAACAGUGGUCUAGGCCAGCAUUUCCGUUUGGAAAUUAUAGAAUACAAAGUCCCUUAACAAAACAAAGUCACUUAACAAAAGUAAGUUGACAAAAGUAAUUGGAGAACAGAAUACAUGUAGAACUUAGAACUCAUACCUCUCUGGUUCCCAACCAUGUAUGGUUUCUUUUUCAUAAUUCUGGAGCUUCAGGGCAAACUCUCAACUGUAUUAGAUCUUUGUAAUGCUUAUAAUCUGAAGACAAGUCAUAUGUAUAACUGAAGCAAAAAAUCACAAUGCAUUGAUGUGUUCAAGAGAUAAUUUUGGGUGGGUGUGGCAUCUCAUGCCUAUAAUCUCAGUACUUUGGGAGGGUGAGGCAGGUGAAUCACUUGAGUUCAGGAGUUUGAGACCACCCUGACCAACAUGGCAAAACCCUGUCUCUACUAAAAUUAUAAAAAUUAGCCGGGCAUAUCGGUGGAUGCCUGUAAUCCCAGAUACUCAGGAGGUGCCAGUCAGUUGGUGGUACCUUUGUGUUACAGGGGGCAGGUGGGCUGAGGAGGAGGCAGCAGCAGUGGGCCUGAGGCGAAGGAGCACCCAGGAGCCUGCCUCACUGGUAGCAAUAUUAAUAAGGCAGCGGAAAGAAGAAAUAUGAAUAUGGCUCCAUCAAUACCCAGCCCCACACGAAGCCGUGAGUUACCUUGGGAGAGUUGGGCUCUGGGGAGUUAAGCCGAGCUUCCUACACCAAAGGUGUUUCCUUCCCCCCAACGAGUGAAAUACUCAAGCAAACGAUAAGAACAUGAACCUGUGUGAAGGGCCUUGCUGCUUUUUUACAACAUACAUCAGGAGAUACAGAGGAAGCUUUGUGUUUUCAGUGGCAAAUACGGCAAGUUCAGCUUGCAGUCUGAGUUGCAGGUGAUUGGAAGAGGAUAAACUCUGUCGGUCCCCGGCUCUUGUGUUGAUGGGAGCCUCCAGCGCAGAAGGAGUGCCCCAGAGUCGUUGGUGUGUGCCAUGGGGCACUGCAGUGGGCAGCGGAGAUUCGGCUCUUCAUUCCAAAUGCCUGCCGGUCCAGAUGUUAACCCAGGUUUACGGGAAGUGCUGCUUGAGAGAUCGCUGUCCCUGUCCUGUGGACCCCCAGUUUGCUCACAUACUUGGGUUAUCUGUUUGAGGGGAAAUAAAAAGGGCAAAACACUCCACCUCUCGAAAGUCUCCCUUUUCUUAGCUUUCACGGAAAUCAAGGGUGUUUUCCCAAUAUAUUCUUCCUUCCAGUGUAUACAAAAGAGAUAAUCCUGGUGUGUUCCCUCACGAUACACAUUAAAUUGGUCCCUCCUCUCAAAGAAGAGCUUUAUUAACAUCACCAUUUACACCAAAAAUAACGAUAUUGUAUUCAAACAUUCUGGCCCCAUAACAGCACACAAGUGGAAGCAGUUUUGUGUAGAGUGCAGGCAGAUGUGAUAUAUUCCAUACAAAUGAUAUAUUUCAUAUCUAGUGUCUCUUCAAGGCCCAAGUGGAUUAAUGGAUUUCACCUUGCCUCAAAGUAAAAAAGCCAGUUUUCCCCAGAAGCAUACCUGAACUACCCCAGUGGACUGCGUUUCCUACAGUGAACUGGACAGUCCCGUGUAUACUGAAUCCUCGUCUGUCCUGGUAACUCCACUUGGGAACCCAACUAACUGAGCAUUGUGCAUAACAGAGCUGUCCUGCUUUUGCACAAAAAUACCUAUAUUUUGUUCCCUACUUAUAGGAAAGAAUGGCCACUAUAUGUUUCAUGGGUCCUUAUGGCUUUGGAGACAGUCGAGAUUCAAGGUGGGAUCUAUCCCCAAUUCGGGGGAGUCCAAGGAGAAAGCCCAGGGAUGGCAGAAAUGGCCAGGAUGCCGGGACAGCAGACAUUCGAGACCCCGAGACUUGCGGGUUCACAGAGACACCAGGAGUAUGCGCGGUGUUUGGGACAUGAGGGAUCUCAGGGACCUCGUGAUCUAAGAGACCCUAGGAAUCUUCUAGGUCAGUGAGACCCCAUGUACGACAGACACAGAGACACGAGAGACUCCUGAGAUCCUGUAUACAGGAGGGAAGACUCUUAGGACUGAUGCCUGCAGGAUGAGUCUUAUUUUGACUGUUACAGAGAUAGUUUGAUGGACGAGGCGCUCCAGGCCCUGAAAGUCAGUCUUGUGCAAAAGAGCGUUUGAAACAUGAGGAACGGCCUAGAGAAGAGCUUUAUCGUCAAUAUUUUGAGGAGAUUCAGAGACGCUUUGAUGCCGAAAGGCCUGUCGAUUGUUCUGUGAUUGUGGUCAACAGACAAAAGACUAUGCUGAGUGUGUGGGGCAGAAGCUGUGAGACCCGGUGUGGUAGUGGACUUGAUCCUCCUCAACAGAGGUGUCGUCGUCACAAGCCUUGGAGGAUGUUAGCAGGGGACGUUCCCUUUUUCUAUUGUCAUCAUCCAGCAACCCCAGAUUCACUGCACCCGUGCAGCCAACAUCAUGUUUGGAAACCCGCAAGAGCAUCGCGACCUGCGCCUGGCAGACGCCAUGGUGCUGGUGGCCAGAAGUUAUGAGCGUUACAAGAAUGAGCACUGGGAGAAGGAACGUGAGGAGAUUGCCAGAAUGGCAGCCAGGAUGAAGCCAUCCUGCAAGAAAGAGAGAGAGGAGGCCCUGGGGAGGGAGUGUGCGGGGCCUGCUGGCAGACAGCAGGUGCCUCACUGCCGAAGAGACUGACGAGAUCAUCACCCACCUGCAAGAGUAGAAGGUGUGGCUGAUGGGGAGCAGCACAGACUCUCUGCCUGGCCCGAUUUCCUGCCAACCACUCGGGCGACCUCCGGUGCCUCGCUGAAGACACGGCCAAGCUCCCAAAAGCUCCAGAGAGGCCACGUGCUCCCCUCUGCUACACCCACUCCAUCUGCAUCCCCCACCUCCCAGCAAGAGUUUCAGGCCAAAAUCCUCAGGCUCUUCAGUAGUGGUACAGGGUGGCCACAUCCCCCUCAGAUGCUGCCAGAAACACCCCGACCAGAAUUUUUCCACAGCAGCAAUCAGCCAGCCUCCGCAAAGAUCACGGGCCUUUGGCAAUCAGCCUCCAAGCAUUUUAGGGCAGGGAGGACCUGCUCAGAACAUGGGCCCCAGACCUGGGGCUCCUUCCCAAGGGCUUUUUGGCCAACCUUCCAGUUGCCUGGCACCUGUUGGCACCAUGGCUAGCCAGUGGCCUGUGUCUUCCACAGGUGUCAACUUUGACAAUCCAAGUGUACAGAAGGCUCUGGAUACCCUGAUCCAGAGUGGCCCUGCUCUCUCCCACCUGGUUAGCCAGACCACAGCACAGAUGGGGCAGCCACAGGCCCCCAUGGGAUCUUACAGAGGCAUUACUGAGGCUAAACCUUGCAGCUAUCCCCGGUCCCCUCAUCCCCUGGCCUCCUCCCACUUACUGCGUUCUAAAUAGAGUUGUUUGGAGGAUAUUCUUUGCCUUCUCCAGGUCUGCAUCAAGUGUCAUCAGUUUCUACCACCUGCUCUCUCUCCUGCCCAAGGCUGUGUUGCUUAUUCCUUACCAAGUUUAUGCUGCAUUUGGGGCUGUAUUUUAUUUUGUUUUUUGGAUUUUUGUAGGAAAUAAGUAUCUCCGGGGUCACUUGGGCAGUACAGGUGUCUGGGCCUAUGUCUGAUGGGGUUUCUCCGGUCCCUCUGUCUACCGGAUUUGGAGCCAGGCCCAGCUGGCCACGUUUGGAAUGGCAUCUGUCAUGUCGGUAGCUACUUCCUUUGUUCACUGUGAACCUACCAAGGCUUUCCAGCUUCAAACACGUCAACCAGAGCUCAAGCUUCCAGCUCCUGCCUGGAGUUAAAGAAAAGUCGGCGGGCCUCAGCAGGCAGAGUGUCAUCAUCCCCCAGCCCCACAUGUCUGGGGGCUGCUUGAGGAUCCAUAAAUUAGCUACUCUGGAUUGUUGAGGAAUGGCCAUGGCAGCCGCAGAAGAAAGAAGUUUUCUGUCUGUGCCAAGGUUGUUAUUCGUUUCUUUCUCUUUUAUUUUUCAUUUUCAUUUCAUUGGAAGAUCUCCAAUGGACAGAACCGCUCCAGCCAGCAGCAGGUUAGCUCACACUGUGAAUCCGGGCCCCACACUCUUCCCCCUGCCGGUUCUGUCAGCAGCCCCCUCCAGCAGCACUUCCGUGGAGUCGAUUCUGAGACUCUGGCCGGGAACACUCAUUUCUUCGGUGAUUUGCUUUGAGCUUUUGGCUCAAAAUCCCAGGCUCUUGUUUUCGUCUAGACUCUUGUUCUGUUUCCCGAGCAGCAGGAGGUAGGGACCACUUUGAUGUCGACUUCUGGUAGCUGGACAUGUUCUUGAGAUAGGUGACUGUUCACGAUGUUUGCAGCAGAGUGAAACUGUUGGAGGGAGGGCUUCUGGCUGUGGUUCUAAGAGGAGCCCCAGGGAGCUGCCCUCUCCCCAGGGGCUGUGCUCAGUGCAUCCCUGUGGAUCACAGUCUCGAGAUCCUCUAGCAGGGGAGAGGGAGAGCAGUGACUUCAGCCGAGUCCCUGACAGUGGCAGAGAAAACAAUGGUUUCAAAAGUCAAGGUCCCCGAAUGGCAGCAUUUUAUGUUCUGACCUGUUUGUGGUAUAUAGUGUUUUUUUUUUUUGCUCUUUGGAACUCUUGUGUUAUUAAUAAAAUGAAAUGAUUGGAGUUCAAGACCAGACUGGCCAAUGGUGAAACCCUGUCUUUACUAAAAAAUUCAAAAAUUAGCUGGACGUGAUAGCUCCUGCCUGUAAUCCCAGCUGCUUGGGAGGCUGAGGCAGGAGAAUUGCUUGAACUGGACCCGGGAGGCAGAGAUUGCAGUGAGCCAAGAUGGUGCCACUCCACUUCAGCCUGGGCCACAGAGUGAGACUCUGUGUCAAAAAAAUGAAUAAAUAAAAAUAAAAUGAAAUGAUUACUUUUUGAUUAAAAUGAAAAAAGUAAAAAGAAAAAAAAAAGAUCUCUUGAAUCUGAGAGGUGGUUGUGCUGAGUGAAAUGAACCAGGCACGGAAACACAAAUACUUCGUGAGCUUACUCCCACGUGGGAUCAUAAAUGGUCAGACUCAUUCAUAGCAGCAGAGAGUAGAAUGGCAGCUACCGGGACCUAAGUAGAGUUGUGUAUGUGGAAGAGAUUGGUCAAAGGAUACAAAGUUUUCGUUGGGAGAAGUAACUUCGGGAGAGGAUCUAUUGUACAACGUGAUGACUAUAGGUAGUUGCAUUGUAUUGUAUACUUGAAAAUUGCUAUAAAAGCACAUUUUUAAUGUCCCCCCCCAAAAAAAAUUGAUACAUAUGUGAGAUAACACAUUUGUUUGGUAACCUGAUAAAGCCAUUUCAGAAUAUGUACAUAUAUCAAAGCAUCAUAUAGUACACCACAAAUACGUAUAAUUUUUACUUGUCAGUUAAAAUAAAUUUAAAAAAUUUAAAAGGAGACAACUUCAUGUUCAUUUAUAUGGAGGGAGAAAUCUAUGUGCUUCUAUAAAAGUGGUACAAUAUAAAAUCUAGAGCAAGAUAGAUUUUGUCUGGUCCAGAAUCAAUUUUUCGUGGCGUCUCAGAGCCCUACACUGAGGGUGGCAGGGUUAAAGGGCUGAGUAGAGCAGCCAAAAGGGAAUGCUGGGGAAUGGGGGCAGGAAGUAUUUUUACCUCUUUUUUCAAAAUUAAAAUACCUUGAUUGGCUUCUCUGGCUAAAAAGGCAAUAUAUAGUUAUCAUAAAAAUGCUUAUGGAAUAAUGUAAACAUUAUAGUCAACGUUGUCAAAAUGCCUGCUCCUCAUUAACACGGAGAGUCUAUCAUUCUGGACUGGUAUGUGUGUAGACAUUUGCACACUAACUAAAAUUUCACAUAGGCAAUACGUGCAAAACUUUCUAUAGCUAGAAUCAAUUUUGUUUAAUAGUAUUCUAUGAAUAAUAUUUUAUUUAUAGUAUAUUGUGAAGAUCAUGUAAAUAAUAUUGGUAAUACACAUAUACAUAUAUAUUUAAGUACAUGGAUAUCCUCAUCCUUUUAAUGACUACAUAAAAUCCCACCAUGUUCAUGCACCAUAACUAAUUAACCCUUCAUUUCUUUGUAGAUAUUUCAUAAUUUACUGUUUAUAAACAGAACUAUGAUGAGUUUGCAUUCUUGUGCUCUUGUCUGUUUAGUUUCUUAGAAUAAAUUCUUAAAAAUGGAAUAUUGGGUCAAAAGAUGUUCAAAAUUUAUAAUGACAUUUGCAAGUUUGACUUUCAAUUUAUAUCAGUAAUGAAAUUUACUAACUCUUGCCAACACAAUUGAUCCAAGUUGAUAUCUUUAAUUUGCACUUACUUGAUUACUAAUGAGGCUUACCACAUUUCUGCAUUUAUCUGCUAUUGCCUCACUUUCCCUUCCUCAGUGGGGCUCCUUCUUCAUCCCUUAACAGGCUGCUUGUCUUUGCUUAAACCCCGAAGACUGGAAUCCCCGAGCAUGCCAUUUCAAAUCACUUUGUUCUCCUAUUGCCCCCUCCUUAAUGAUCUCAUCUGGUCCCACAGUUUCAAUAGUCACGUGCUGGUAACUCCCGGAUUUACGGCUCCAGCCUUGACCUCUCUGCUGAAUUUCAGUGCCUACCUGAAACUUCGACACUGGAACUAACAUCCUAUGCCACAUAGGUUUAGCAAUUAGUUAUUUUUCAUGAAUUUGGUUCUGUAUAAACUGAACCUAAGAUCUCCUCUCAGUUCAGCAUUUUUGUCUAUUAUGUUUUUGAGUAUUCUUUCCUACAGAUUCUGCUCUCUUCUUCCAGGAUUCUCAUUAUUCUUCACAGGGCUGCCAUCAUUUUUCUUCCAUAUCUAUGAUCGCUGUGAUUUUUAUAUCUGUGUUCUUUAAAUUUGAGUUUCAGCCUAUUCUCCACAUUGCUGAUGUACUUCUCUGCAACGGUAAUUCUGUUCUUUACAGGUUCCUACAAUGUGAGUUCAUGAGCGUUCUGUUUCUUUCACAUGAGAGCUCUCUUUUUAUUUGAGUCUGCUUUCUUCGCUCCAUUGUCUUUUCACCUUCAUUGUGCGGAGCCAACAGCAGGUGCUCAUGGAGGAUAAGGAGAUAAAUGACUAUGGGCAGCGGCUUCCUGGAGCCAGGUGUCCCACUGACAGGCCAGCUCUACAGCCCCUCCUUCCUGCUCCCGGAUGACUCAGGUGCCCUUCCCUGUUCCAGCCAUUCCAGGAGAAUCAUGAUCAACGUGCUUAUCAUACUCUGACUUACCUGUUUUUCUCUUUUUCAACUCGGAAUUUUGAGAGGACAAAAACUUUCCGUUGUUCGACAUGUAUUCUCAGAAACUAGUACAGAAGACUGGCACAAAGUGGGCCUUUUAGAAAUAUUUACUAAUUUAAUGAAUCACGGCAUGAGGAUGUAGUUCUUACUAUGCAAAUUGUUGACCUUUGCUACACAGAAUGUCAAGGUCAAGGACAUCUGAAUCAAUAAAGAAAAUAUUAUAUGUAUUUGUGUGUGCAUGUAUAUAUAUAUACACAUAUAUAUAUGUGUGUGCACACACACACACACAAGUGAACUGUUAUUCAGCCUUAAAAGAGAAGGAAAUCCUACUAUUCAUGACAAGAUAAACUGACCCAGAAGAUAUUAUGUUAAGUGAAAUAAGCCAGUCACGGAAGAACAAAUACUGCCUGACUCCACUCAUACGAAGAAUCUAAAACAGUCAAAUUCACGGAACCAGAGAAUAGAAUGGUGGUUGCUAGGGGUUGUGGGGAGGAAGAAAUGGGGAUUUGCUGCUCAGUGGGUGUGACAUUUCAAUUAUUCAAGACAAAUAAUCUCUAGAGAUGUGCUGUACAGAACAGUAUCUGUGGUUAAGCAUCAGCAUUGCAACUUUAAAAUAUUGUAGAUGAUGGGUCUCAUGUUAAGUGCUCUUACCACACAGAAAACAGAGCAAAAACGAAACCACAAAAGAGCACAAGAAAACUUGUGGAAGUGACGGGUAUGUUUCGUGGUACUUGGCUGUGGCAUCAUGAGUAUAGGCAUAUGUCCAAGCUCAUCAAAAUAUAUACAUCAGGUGCAUUUUUAUAUAUACAAAUAUCAACUAUAUCUCAAAUCUUAAAAAUUCUAAAAGAUUUAAAAAGGAACUAUAUUUGAAGGCAUACUUGUUUAAGUGUGAAUUUCCUCACAUGAUGAACUGCUAGUCAUAUGUCUGCCUCUGUUUUUAUUAAAGGGUUAUUUACUCUACUGGAGAGAGAGAGGGAGAGAGAGAGAGAGAGAGAGAGAGAGAGAGAGAGAGAGAGAGAGAGAGACAAGCCACUGAAAAUACCAGAGAUGCUCAGUUCUACUAGAAGUGAGCAUGAUACGUAACACAUUAUUAAUGUAGCUUAUUUCAUAAAUUUGUUUAUGAGAACUGGGUUUAAAUUUCAGGCUUUCAUAAGUAGUAAAACAGCCUAUGUAGAUUCGGUAAUGGUACAAUUCCCUUUUAAAUGAUACACAAAGCAGAACUCAUUGGAAUACAAGCAUGUCUUCCGCUGAAAGCCCAGAGCCCCUUUCAGUGGACGGUUAUAUGGAGACCCCCAUGCCUGUGAAUCAGAGCCUCAGUAAAGGCUCACGUCUGUCCGAUCGUCCUGCUAAGAAGUUCACUGAGUUGGGAAAAUUACAUUCUUAGCAAAGAAGAGCACAAGAAACCUCAUAUCGUUGGUGUUGAGGUUGGAGUACGUAUCAAGGACAGUACCUACCAUGGCUUCUGAAGUUUUGGCAAAACCUCAGAUGCGUGGCCUUCUGGCCAGGCAUCUGUGAAUUCAUAUGGUUGGAGCAUUCCUGGUAUCCCUGGGGGUUGCAGCUCUCUAUAAGUUUGCUGUGGCUGAACCAAGAAAGAAGGCAUAUGCAGAUUUCUACAAAAAUUACAGUCCUGAGAAAGAUUUUGAGGAGAUGAAGAAGGCUGGUAUCUUUCGUAGUAUAAAGUGAUCUUGGAAUAGAAAGAAUUUCUUCAGGUUGAAUUACCUAGAAGUUUGUCACUGACUAGGGUUCCUGAACUAUGACACAUGAAUAUGUGGGCUAAGAAUUAGUUUCUCUUGAUAAAUAAAAGUUAACAAAUACAAAAAAAAAAAAAAAAGAAAA